UUUAAUUCGAUGCAACGCGAAGAACCUUACCUGGUCUUGACAUCCACGGAAGUUUUCAGAGAUGAGAAUGUGCCUUCGGGAACCGUGAGACAGGUGCUGCAUGGCUGUCGUCAGCUCGUGUUGUGAAAUGUUGGGUUAAGUCCCGCAACGAGCGCAACCCUUAUCCUUUGUUGCCAGCGGUCCGGCCGGGAACUCAAAGGAGACUGCCAGUGAUAAACUGGAGGAAGGUGGGGAUGACGUCAAGUCAUCAUGGCCCUUACGACCAGGGCUACACACGUGCUACAAUGGCGCAUACAAAGAGAAGCGACCUCGCGAGAGCAAGCGGACCUCAUAAAGUGCGUCGUAGUCCGGAUUGGAGUCUGCAACUCGACUCCAUGAAGUCGGAAUCGCUAGUAAUCGUGGAUCAGAAUGCCACGGUGAAUACGUUCCCGGGCCUUGUACACACCGCCCGUCACACCAUGGGAGUGGGUUGCAAAAGAAGUAGGUAGCUUAACCUUCGGGAGGGCGCUUACCACUUUGUGAUUCAUGACUGGGGUGAAGUCGUAACAAGGUAACCGUAGGGGAACCUGCGGUUGGAUCACCUCCUUACCUUAAAGAAGC
rnacentral:rRNA from 1 species